rnacentral:rRNA from 1 species
AUGGAGCAAGCUAGGGUAACAAGUUCUCGAGUUUUUGAACUGUUUUUUGGCGCUUUUGUCCGACUUCCCCAGUUACUAAUCAUAGGAGGAGAAUCUAGCUUGUUGGCACAUUUUGUGACAAUGGACGACGGACUAUACCUUCCGAUCCCCAACCACCUUCUGUUUCCAUAUCCUGAGAUCUCCCACGGCUUCGAUGAGUUCCUAGCGUGUACUCACACACACACCUGCAACGGUCUAUCAUGGUCGGCCGCGGCGCACGCUCACACGUGCCUCCACGCGCACACCCAAGUCAUAGCUUCCGGCGAAGAUCACGCGGAGCAUGACCAGCUGAGGAAUCUCCGGAAGCCUCUGGGGAACCGUGAGGCCGUGCGCAAGUACCGGCAGAAGAAGAAAGCUCACGCAGCCUUCCUUGAGGAGGAGGUCAAGAAGCUCCGCGCCGCCAACCAGCAGCUCCUGAGGCGGCUGCAGGGCCACGCUGCCCUGGAGGCCGAGGUGGCGAGGCUGACGGGCCUCCUGCUCGAUGUCCGAGGCAAAAUCGAUGCGGCUGAGAUCGGCGGCCUGCCGUUCGAGGAGCGUUGCAGCUUCGGCUCUGUCGUCAGCACUGCUGCAGAACCGACAGCACCAUGCUUUGAUUCUGGCAGUGCUGAGGUGCCAGCGGCCUGGGAGGCUUGCGAGAUCGAUGGCGGUGGUAUUGUUUCAGGAGAACUUGGUGUUCCUGAAGUGGUGGACGCUGUUGCCAGCUUCGUGAACUCUCCUGCAUAA